rnacentral:rRNA from 1 species
AGUAAAAGUCGUAACAAGGUCUCCGUAGGUGAACCUGCGGAGGGAUCAUUAACAGGUUCUGGUCGGCCGUCCGGUCGCACCGUCCCUCCCUCUGUCUACCGUACACUGUUGCUCGAGCGGGCGCAAGCCCGCGCGGGAUAACCACAACCCUUCUUAGCGAAUGUCUGAGUAUCAACAAAUACAAACAAAACUUUUAACAACGGAUCUCUUGGUUCCAACAUCGAUGAAGAACGCAGCGAAAUGCGAUAGCUAGUGUGAAUUGCAGAUUUACGUGAAUCAUCGAGUCUUUGAACGCACAUUGCGCCCCUCGGUUCUCCGGGGGGCAUGUCUGUCCGAGCGUCGUUGCAACUCUCAAGUUUACUUGGUCAUGGGGAUCGUGCCGCCCGGCGGCGCGUCCCUCAAACGCAACUCGACGUGCCUUGUCAGCGGAGCGCAGUAGAAUGCUGCUUCGUGAGGCGCCACCCGGGCUCUUUGGAGACCACCGUGUUGACCUCGGAUCAGAUAGGGAUACCCGCUGAACUUAAGCAUAUCAAUAAGCGGAGGAAAAGAAACCAACAGGGAUUGCCCCAGUAACG